GACGAACGCUGGCGGCGCGCCUAACACAUGCAAGUCGAACGGAAAGGCGCUGCUUUCGUGGGCUGCUCGAGGCGCGAUCGGGUGUGAAACACGUGAGUAACAUGCCCUAGACUGUGGGAUAACUUCAGGAAACUGGGGCAAAUAGCGGAUAGGAGUACCUGCUGGAGGGUGGGGGGGGGAAAGUUUCGGCGGUUGGUGAUGGACUCGCGGCUUAUCGGCUUGUUGGUGGGGUAGGGGAUUACCAAGGCUGUGACGGGAAGCCGGCCUGGGAGGUUGACCGGCCACAUUGGUACUGAGAGAGGGAGCAGUCUCCUAUGGGACGCAGCGGUGGGGAGUAUUGCGGAGUGGCCGGAAGCCUGUGGCGGCAACGCCGAGUGCGGAAUAACGGCCUUCGGGUGAUAAACCACUUUCGCCUGUGACGAAGCGGGAGUGACGGUAGUGGGUAAAGAAGCACCGGCUAACUACGUG
rnacentral:rRNA from 1 species